rnacentral:rRNA from 1 species
UAGGGAAUCUUCGGCAAUGGACGGAAGNUUGGACCGAGCAACGCCACGUGAGUGAAGAAGGUUUUCGGAUCGUAAAGCUCUGUUGUAAGAGAAGAACGAGUGUGAGAGUGGAAAGUUCACACUGUGACGGUAUCUUACCAGAAAGGGACGGCUAACUACGUGCCAGCAGCCGCGNNAAUACGUAGGUCCCGAGCGUUGUCCGGAUUUAUUGGGCGUAAAGCGAGCGCAGGCGGUUAGAUAAGUCUGAAGUUAAAGGCUGUGGCUUAACCAUAGUAGGCUUUGGAAACUGUUUAACUUGAGUGCAAGAGGGGAGAGNGGAAUUCCAUGUGUAGCGGUGAAAUGCGUAGAUAUAUGGAGGAACACCGGUGGCGAAAGCGGCUCUCUGGCUUGUAACUGACGCUGAGGCUCGAAAGCGUGGGGAGCAAACAGGAUUAGAUACCCUGGUAGUCCACGCUGUAAACGAUGAGUGCUAGGUGUUAGACCCUUUCCGGGGUUUAGUGCCGUAGCUAACGCAUUAAAGCACUCCGCCUGGGGAGUACGACCCGCAAGGUUG